UAGGGAAUCUUCGGCAAUGGGGGGAACCCUGACCGAGCAACGCCGCGUGAGUGAAGAAGGUUUUCGGAUCGUAAAGCUCUGUUGUUAAGGAAGAACGAGUGUGAGAAUGGAAAGUUCAUGCUGUGACGGUACUUAACCAGAAAGGGACGGCUAACUACGUGCCAGCAGCCGCGGUAAUACGUAGGUCCCGAGCGUUGUCCGGAUUUAUUGGGCGUAAAGCGAGCGCAGGCGGUUAAAAAAGUCUGAAGUGAAAGCAGUGGCUCAACCAUUGUAGGCUUUGGAAACUGUUUAACUUGAGUGGAGAAGGGGAGAGUGGAAUUCCAUGUGUAGCGGUGAAAUGCGUAGAUAUAUGGAGGAACACCGGUGGAGAAAGCGGCUCUCUGGUCUGUAACUGACGCUGAGGCUCGAAAGCGUGGGGAGCGAACAGG
rnacentral:rRNA from 1 species